rnacentral:misc_RNA from 1 species
AUACGACCAUAAGGAUCAACAGAAUCCUCUGAAAUGCCAGCCCACCAACCCACCAAUCCAGCACCAGCAUGAUCUCGGAUAAAAGCUGCAUCACCAUAACGCUCUUCAUUAAUAGCUCUAUUGAGAUCAAAUAUUGCUGUGCCCACAGUAUCAUUUUUCAGUGCCGUAGAAAUUGCUAGCUUGAGCUUUGCAGCAUCUUCGUAGUCCUCUCGGAUAACAGCAUCCCUUAAUUGUGACUUCAGCACGGUGACAAUCCUCUCUUCCUCCUCAACAUCAGCGAAGUGACGCUUCCACCGCUCCCA